rnacentral:rRNA from 1 species
CACUCCUACGGGAGGCAGCAGUGGGGAAUUUUGGACAAUGGGCGAAAGCCUGAUCCAGCAAUGCCGCGUGAGUGAAGAAGGCCUUCGGGUUGUAAAGCUCUUUUGUCAGGGAAGAAACGGUGAAAGCUAAUAUCUUUUGCUAAUGACGGUACCUGAAGAAUAAGCACCGGCUAACUACGUGCCAGCAGCCGCGGUAAUACGUAGGGUGCAAGCGUUCAUCGGAAUUACUGGGCGUAAAGCGUGCGCAGGCGGUUUUGUAAGUCUGAUGUGAAAUCCCCGGGCUCAACCUGGGAAUUGCAUUGGAGACUGCAAGGCUAGAAUCUGGCAGAGGGGGGUAGAAUUCCACGUGUAGCAGUGAAAUGCGUAGAUAUGUGGAGGAACACCGAUGGCGAAGGCAGCCCCCUGGGUCAAGAUUGACGCUCAUGCACGAAAGCGUGGGGAGCAAACAGGAUUAGAUACCCGGGUAGUCC